rnacentral:misc_RNA from 1 species
UUUUGAGCUUACUGAUCCGAAUGAUAGUCGAAAAGGGUGUAGGAGGAUAGUUGAACUUAGUAAUUGUCCUUCCAAUGCAACUAUGUUGCAAUUGGAUAAUGCGAAGUUCUUGACUUAUCCUCCAGAAUUAUCUGAGCAGAUUUUUUCUGCUGGUAUUUCAGCGUGUAGGUUUAACUGUCUUGUUAAUGGUGCUUGUGUUGCUUCGACUUCUUUAGCAGAUGGCACGGGGAUGUGUUAUAUUAAACAGCCAAACUUUGUUAGUGGCUAUCAAGCGCCGACCCUUCCUAGCACUUCAUUUCUUAAGAUAUGUGGGCCUGCAAUGCCUAAUCCUACUGCAAAUUCAGAACCUGUUCCGGAG